AGAAUUGGAGUUUUCUACUGUGGCGCGCCUGCACUAACGAAGGAGCUAAGGCAAUUGGCUUUGGACUUCUCCCACAGGACAUCCACUAAGUUCGAUUUUCAUAAAGAGAACUUUUGAUGGACGACAGCCAUGUAUAUACGUAUAUCAAUAGACCAACUGAAGCUUCGUGACUCCUGAGUGAUAUACAACGUCAUCGAUCCACCGACAAUUGUUCCUUAAUUUUGUUUCUUUGAUUUAAUUUUACCAGGCCUGUG
rnacentral:misc_RNA from 1 species